CCUGAAAGAUAAAUAUUUAGGCACUGAGAUCUGUUAAAGUACAAAACAUCAUCUAUAAUUCAGAUUCAAAAUGAUUUAUAUUUAAAUAUUGCCACAGCUGUACUACAAAUAGGCCUAUGUUGGCAAAUUGCAAGUUACCAGUGCAGGGCCAUGACAAGAGAGGACUUAUUCCUGGUCAGCAAGAGGAUCUCUUUACUCCGAUGAGCAAAGGAUCCAGAACUGGACACAGUGCUCUAGAUGCAGACUUAGGACUGGCAAGUAAAAAAAGGAGUGAAUGUUCCUCUCAACCUCCUGGCUAUGCCUAAGGUAAUGUCUGCCUUCAAAGCAGAAGAAGCAAUGAGAAGGCUCUGUGGGAGAAGGUGACUGUGAUAUGUCCUGGGAUCCCAGUCACCCCAUCACCCAGCUUGAA